rnacentral:rRNA from 1 species
GACGGAGGGCUCAAGCGUUAUGCGGAAUCACUGGGCUUAAAGCGUGUGUAGGCGGAUCGUUAAGUGUCUUGUGAAAUCCCACGGCUCACCCGUGGAACGGCUGGGCAUACUGGCGAUCUUGGGCCAACUAGGGGCAACUGGAACAAGCGGUGGAGCGGUGAAAUGCGUAGAUAUCGCUUGGAACGCCGAAGGUGAAAACAGGUUGCUGGGGUUGUGCCGACGCUGAGACACGAAAGCCAGGGGAGCAAACGGG